rnacentral:lncRNA from 13 species
GCCGAAAGUAAUGUGGACAUAUUCCUGAGCUAAGGGUCACAAGAAGCAGGAUCUUUCAUUUGCUCUGCUGUGAAUUACUCUGUGACUUUAAACAAACGCUUAACUUCUCUGUGCCUUGGUUACCUUAUCUGACAAUGAGAAUUGUUGAAUUAGGUGCUCUCCAAGUUCCAUUAAGGAGAUUCCAUGAGUCUGUGUGGUUCUGUUACCACCACAAUCACCAGUACCCACAUUACUGCUGCCUGAUGUUUAACGUGGAACAUAAUGGAUACCCAAAGAUGUGCUACUCCUGUUCUUGUCCAGUUCGAAUCCUACACAUACUUUAACUCAAGCUCCACCUGCACUGGGAAACCAUCCCUGGCUCUUUCAGAAGGACUACUGAACGGUAUAUUCAACAACCUCAAAUGGAACACAGCUUCCAUGUACUUUACAUCAUGCCAGGCAGUGGUCAUUGUAUGCACCCCUGCCAGUUUCAUGAGAAGAAUACACCUACACCUGGCUAACCUGUUGGUCCAAGGCAAGAAGUACAUGGAGCCGACCUUACCCAACUUGUAGCUUUGAACCACCUAGAUGGGCCCAGCUGAGAUCAGCAGAGCUAUUAAUAUAUGAUAAAUAAGUGGUUAUUGCAUGGUUUCUGAAAUGUGUGGUUUCUUGAAAUGCAGCAAUUGGUGACUGUUACAACAAUAAAAUUGGAUACAUAUUUGAUGCA